AUGCAAUCCACAUUAGCCAAAUAUUAAGCAAGAACUUAAGCACAGUGAUGACGUUCAAAAUCGUCCAAAUCUAAUUACUCGAAUUUAGAAUAAAAUUAGAAGAGCUCAAAAAUGACUAGUACAAGAAAAUAAUCUUAAGCCAUGUUGUUGCACAUAUAUAUGUUAUUGAAUUUCAAAAAAGAAGACUCCCUCAUGCACAUUUACCAUUGAUUUUCAGCUGCAUUAGUAAGAUUUCUUGUGCUCAAGAAGUUGAAAGGAUAGUGUCAUAUGAAAUACCUAGCAAUAAUAUAUAUUCUUAUCUUCAUUCUAUUAUUGUUAAACACAAUAUACAUGGCCCUUGUGGAUACCUAUAUCUUAAGAAUGUAUGUAUAGAUGGAAAUAAAGAUCAUAAAAAAUAUCAUAGGGAUUAUCAUUGCGAAGAAUGUUUAUAUGAAGCUAUUAUCUAUGAAAUAUCUAAUUAUUUAAGAAGUCUCUUUGCUACACUUCUUACGCUUUACAUCCCUAAUGAUCCAAAGUUCCUACGGGAUAAAUUCAAUGUUUACGGGAUCAAUGAUUAUGUGCAUGAAAAUAUACCGAGUUCAAGGCUUUACA
rnacentral:lncRNA from 1 species